rnacentral:rRNA from 1 species
AGGUCAAGCAAGAUAGGGCACAGGGCGGAUGCCUUGGCACUGAGAGCCGACGAAAGACGUGAUAAGCUGCGAAAAGCCGCGGGGAGGAGCAAAUAUCCAUUGAGCCGCGGAUGUCUGAAUGGGGGAACCCGGCAGGAAGAACUCCUGUCAUCAUGCACUGAAUCCAUAGGUGUAUGAAGGGAACCCGGGGAACUGAAACAUCUAAGUACCCGGAGGAAGAGAAAGAAACAUCGAUUUCCUGAGUAGCGGCGAGCGAAAGGGAAAGAGCCCAAACCGGUGUGCGUGCACACCGGGGUUACGGACUGUCGAAAGUGAGCUGAAAGUUAGCCGAACGGUUUUGGGAAAGCCGGCCAGAGAGGGUGAAAGCCCCUUAGGCGAAAACGGAAGGCAGCGGACAGGAUCCAGAGUACCACGAGGGAGGGACCACCCUCCAAGGCUAAAUACUACUCAGUGACCGAUAGCGCAUAGUACUGUGAAGGAAAGGUGAAAAGGACCCCGGGAGGGGAGUGAAAGAGCACCUGAAACCCUGUGUCUGCAAGCUGUGGGAGGACGUUAAGGUCCGACCGCGUACUUUUUGUAGAACGGUCCGGCGAGCUGCCACAUCCGGCGAGGUUAAGCACUUAAGGUGCGGAGCCGGAGGGAAACCGAGUCUUAACAGGGCGUUAAGUCGGAUGGGGCAGGCCCGAAACCGGGUGAUCUAUCCAUGUCCAGGAUGAAGCUGUCGUAAAAGCCGUUGAAAAGGGUGGUGAUGAGGUGUGGAUAGGGGAGAAAUUCCAAUCGAACCCGGAGAUAGCUGGUUCUCCUCGAAAUAGCUUUAGGGCUAGCCUCUUAAAAGAGUAACGGAGGUAGAGCACUGAAUAGCCUAGGGGGCGUCAAAGCCUACCGAAGCUUAUCAAACUCCGAAUGCCGUAUACUUGAUUUAAGGGAGUCAGACUGCACGAGAUAAGUUGGGCAGUCAAAAGGGAAAGAGCCCAGACCGCCAGCUAAGGCCCCAAAAUGCAUGUUAAGUGGAAAAGGAUGUGGGAUCUCAAAGACAACUAGGAUGUUGGCUCAGAAGCAGCCAUUCAUUCAAAGAGUGCGUAAUAGCUCACUAGUCGAGAGGUCCUGCGCCGAAAAUGUCCGGGGCUGAAACAUGCUGCCGAAGCUGCGGAACCGCAAGGUUGGUAGAGGAGCAUUGAAUGCGGGAAGAAGCUGUACCGAAAGGAGCAGUGGACUGCAUUGAAGAGAGAAUGCCGGAAUGAGUAGCGAGAAAUAGGUGAGAAUCCUAUUGGCCGAAUAUCCAAGGAUUCCAGGGUAAAGCUGAUCUGCCCUGGGUAAGUCGGGGCCUAAGGCGAGGUCGGAAGACGUAGCCGAUGGACAACAGGUGGAGAUUCCUGUACUGCAUAUGGUCAGAACUGUGGGGACACGGGGUGUUAACGGAAGCCGGGAAAGGAAAGACCGGUCCAAGCACAGGAGGCGUUGCGCAGGCAAAUCCGCGCAAUAAGCCAAAGGUGUGACGGGGAGCGAAAUUAUAGUAGCGAAGUCCGGAUACAUGCUGUCAAGAAAAGCCGCUAUUGCGCCAUAUGUACCCGUACCGUAAACCGACACAGGUGGAUGAGGAGAGAAUCCUAAGGCCGGCGGGAGAAGUGUUGUUAAGGAACUCG